AGGUUUUCUUUGAAAGUUUGAUGGAAAAUGUACAGAGACUUGUCGCAGUUAAUGCAGUACCAAAUGCUUGGUUUCUUGGAGUAUGUGCUUGAAACAAGAAUGUCCUGGAGAAAACAGACCACCACAAGAGAAGGGAUUGAGAAGGAGGGCUUCCUGUUGACAGAUAAGGGGGUGCCUUGAGGUUCCACUCUUGAUGUUCUGCCCCUUACCUGAAAGCGAUGGCCUCUUGUGCCUGACAUAUUAGGAGCAAAGCACAAUGGACUGCUGGCUUAUUGGAAUUGGUUACAAAGAUACAAGUGGACUUGUCUGUAGUAGUUGCUGAAGAGGAGCAGU